rnacentral:rRNA from 1 species
UACGUAGGGCGCAAGCGUUGUCCGGAAUUAUUGGGCGUAAAGAGCUCGUAGGCGGCUUGUCACGUCGAUUGUGAAAGCCCGAGGCUUAACCUCGGGUCUGCAGUCGAUACGGGCUAGCUAGAGUGUGGUAGGGGAGAUCGGAAUUCCUGGUGUAGCGGUGGAAUGCGCAGAUAUCAGGAGGAACACCUAUAGCGAAGGCAGCUCGCUGGUACGACACUGACGCUAAGGCGCGAAAGCGUGGGGAGCGAACAGG